GGAGGGGUGGCCGAGUGGUUUAAGGCAGCGGUCUUGAAAACCGCCGCAUUGAAAGAUGCCGUGGGUUCGAAUCCCACCCCCUCCGCCA
rnacentral:tRNA from 1 species